GAAAUGCGAUAAGUAAUGUGAAUUGCAGAAUUCAGUGAAUCAUCGAAUCUUUGAACGCACAUUGCGCCCACCAGUAUUCUGGUGGGCAUGCCUGUUCGAGCGUCAUUUCAACCUUCAGAGCCGCCCUGUGCUGCGCUCUGGCGUUGGGGAUCGCCCGCCCUCUGCGGCGGCCGGCCCCGAAAUGUAGUGGCGGCCGCGCCCGCGACCUCCUCUGUGUAGUAGCGAUGCCUCACAGCUGGACAGCGACGCGGCCACGCCGUAAAACCCCCCUACUUCUAUGUGGUUGACCUCGAAUCAGGUAGGAAUACCCGCUGAACUUAA
rnacentral:misc_RNA from 1 species